rnacentral:tRNA from 1 species
GGCGGCGCUGGCAAUCUGGUUGCCGACAAGGUUGAAACCCUUGUGCCUGUAAAAGGCUUCGGGGUUCAAAUCCCCGCGCCGCCG